GACGAACGCUGGCGGCAGGCUUAACACAUGCAAGUCGAACGCAUCCUUCGGGGUGAGUGGCAGACGGGUGAGUAACGCGUGGGAACGUGCCCUUCAGUUCGGGAUAACCCAGGGAAACUUGGGCUAAUACCGGAUACGUGCGAGAGCAGAAAGAUUUAUCGCUGAAGGAUCGGCCCGCGUUUGAUUAGCUAGUUGGUGGGGUAAUGGCCCACCAAGGCGACGAUCAGUAGCUGGUCUGAGAGGAUGAUCAGCCACAUUGGGACUGAGACACGGCCCAAACUCCUACGGGAGGCAGCAGUGGGGAAUAUUGGACAAUGGGCGAAAGCCUGACGCAGCCAUGCCGCGUGGAUGAUGAAGGUCUUAGGAUUGUAAAAUCCUUUCACCGGUGAAGAUAAUGACUGUAGCCGGAGAAGAAGCCCCGGCUAACUUCGUGCCAGCCGCCGCGGUAA
rnacentral:rRNA from 1 species